GCGCCCGGCCGGCGUGGCUGGCUGUUUGAGGACUGCGCGCGGAGCUCCGUGGCGGGUGUCUGAAGUCGUGAGUUUACUGCUUGUAAGGAACAUAGCGAUCACUGGGAACCUGGAAGUAGAGACUCCUUUCUGCCAUCCAUCCGUCCCUCGGGCUGCUGCGAAUCCCCCCGCCGGCCUCCAGGACCCCGGGCUGACUGAACGCCCGCACCGGUCCCGCCGCCCCAGGGCCCGCUACGCGCCCGGCAUAAUGGGAGAAAAAUCACGACGGAAAGGCCCAGCCCCUCGCCAUGCAGACGGGAAGCUUGGCCGCACGUGUGAUCACCCUUACGCCCCUUGGAGUUUCACCCCCUCUUCGCGGGCUCCAACAGCCUGGGUCAGGCCUCCUUGUCCUGUGUGGGCCUCUCGGCUGCAAGAACACAGUCCCGAGCCCCGGCGAGCCCGCGCGCCUCCCACCCGCCGUGCACAGGCUGCACUUUACGCCCCAGCACUGCGCCUGCGGGACCAUCUGGAUCGCUUUUCCAUUCUGAUGACGUCCUGUACUUCGUGGCUGCAGGCUCCUCAAGCCCCAGGUCUGUGCAGAGACGAGCAAAGCAGCAGAAUAUCCGUGCCACAGCUUUCUGGAGCACCCAUUUUACUACCAGAUUUGGAAGGAACGAAGUUAAGUAAUUUCCAAGAAUCAUCUCCCCUGCCCCACAAACAUGAAAGAAAAGACAAGAGAAGCACCCCAGAAGAGGAGGGGAGAAGUGCCCCAGAAAAAAUCAUCCAGUCUCUGAAGCUUUGCCCAGAAACUAUGAAAAUACAUUGCAAGAAUGCAACAUGCAGCACAGCAGAGAAGGGGCUGUCUGCAAAGAUAAAGGGCUGGAGGGAAGUUUUCUAAGGUUGUGCUGGACGGCGCUAUGUGCAGUCUCCACCUCCAAAACAAGACUCAGAAAAAGGUGUGAAGCUCAAGUCGGAUGACCAUGACCCACGCGUGGCCACGGACGGGCCCAUGCUACCCUUCGCAGUCCUCCUGGAACAGCCGGGCCGGUCCUCACCUCCGGGUCGGGGCUUGGAGAUAAUGGGUGUAAUGGAAGGCCUGAGGACCGGGCCCCACGCCAGUCAGCGUCCGGGCGGGAUACCCCAUCCCCCGUUCACACUCUCGGAAGGCCCAGCGAUUCCCGCGUGUACUAAUUGACCCGCUCAGGCCACAGCACUCCGAGCUCAAGAGCGCGCCUACAACGCUGACCCUCAGGUUUAAUCUCCGACGAAAGGACGAAGAGUACACCCAGCAAAGCCGGGCUCAUCCUGCCAGCGCUGCCAGUCCCCUGGAACUCUGCACCGCGCCCUGUGGCCAAAUCCCCUUUCUUGCCGGCUUCGCCAGAGCGCCGGAGAGAAAACCUUAACAGUGCAGCCAGGUGGCGCCCGACAGCCGGCGCCAGCGGCCGCGGAUCGGAUCCGCAUCUCCGGCGGGCGAGGCCUCUCCUAGUCCCUGACCAACUGGGAUCGCGUUUCUCGGCCUGGGGCGGGUGAAGGAGCUCCCAGUUGGCACCGCCUGGAAUGGCGCGACCCCGCAGCCGAAGGAGACUUGAAAAUUUUUCCUAACUACCGUUCUGCUCCGAGUGACUGCUACCUGCGAGGACAGACAGCCCACGCGGCUCCGGGCCGGGCGAUCUUCCGCGGGAACCGGGAACGUUUCCGAAGACCCCCGCAGGCCGGCGCCCUGCCUCGGCUUCCCAGCGCAGCGGGGUCCCGGGCUCCUCGCGGAUUAGAAAGUUUUGCUGGGCUCUGGCGGCGGGAGAGACAGUGAAGUUGAAACCGUGAAAGGGAGAACAUGGGUGAAUCGCUUUUAUUCUGUCUUUUCGGAAUGGGGAAGCCUUUCUAAAGCAUUAAAUAAACCCAGAAGCCAUCAAGGAAAUGAUUGAUCGGCUUGACAACAUAAAGUUUGAACAAAAUACACAAGCAAAGUCAAAAGAUAACAAAUGAGUGUGGGGAUCGCUUAUGCAUAAGAUAAGAAUAUUGAUUUCAUUCACAGUAGCCAAGAUACGGAAGCAACCUAGCCAAGAUAUGGAAGCAUCUACUAGUGGCUGAACGGAUAAAGAAAAUGUGGUGUAUGUACACCACGGGGUACUGUCCCGCCUUUGAAUAAAAGGAAAUCCUGCCAUUGGCGACAACAUGGAUGAACGUGGAGGUCAUUGUACUAAGAAAAGUAAGCCAGGCACAGAAACAAAUACCACCUGGUCUCUCCUGUAUGUGGAAUCUGAAAAUAGUUGAACUCAUAGAAACGGAGAGUAGAACGGUGGCUACUUGAGGCCGGGGGAAGGGCAGGAGGGGGAAGAUGUUAGUCAA
ensembl:lncRNA LINC02693 long intergenic non-protein coding RNA 2693